UAGGGAAUCUUCCGCAAUGGACGCAAGUCUGACGGAGCAACGCCGCGUGAGUGAAGAAGGAUUUCGGUUCGUAAAACUCUGUUGUUAGAGAAGAACAUCGCAUAGCGUAACUGUUAUGCGUGUGACGGUAUCUAACCAGAAAGCCACGGCUAACUACGUGCCAGCAGCUGCGGUAAUACGUAGGUGGCAAGCGUUGUCCGGAUUUAUUGGUCGUAAAGCGAGCGCAGGCGGUCAAUUAAGUCUGAUGUGAAAGCCCCCGGCUCAACCGGGGAGGGUCAUUGGAAACUGGUUGACUUGAGUGCAGAAGAGGAGAGUGGAAUUCCAUGUGUAGCGGUGAAAUGCGUAGAUAUAUGGAAGAACACCAGUGGCGAAGGCGACUCUCUGGUCUGUAACUGACGCUGAGGUUCGAAAGCGUGGGUAGCAAACAGG
rnacentral:rRNA from 1 species